rnacentral:lncRNA from 1 species
CGAGUCAUAAAAUCGAUUAACCACAUUAAAGAUAACAAAUACUUUUGAAAGAUAAAAAAGAUAUAACGAAUCCUAAGACUCUAGACUCUAAAGAUGUUGUUUGUCUCCGGCCGAAGCGACGGAGUGAUUGUUUUACCUUCAUCGAGGCCAUAGCGACAAGAUGAGGUUGGAUCGUUAAGGCUGUAGCGACAAAACGAUUUCUAACCUAUUGAGGCCAUAGCGACAAAAUAGGUUAGUUUCGGAACUCUCAAUGAUCUAGGGUUUUGUAUAUUCCUAAGACUCUACCCUUUGAGUUCG